GCGCCAAAGUCUAAUAUUUUUGAAGGCGUAGACUUGAAAGCACAGAGCAAGCUGUACAUCUCCCGUAUUACGCAAGGCAGACAUUUCUCAUUCAGAAGAAGGUAUGAAUAUGUCAUGCAAUUCACCCACACGCAUAUUCUACAAUAUACAACAAUUUAGCACUUAGAGAGCACAAAUCUGAACAAUCAACAGUUAAAAAAAGCCCAGUAUGUCCCAAGCAAUGAGCAAAACACUGGUAUGACUUGAGCAUU
rnacentral:misc_RNA from 1 species